rnacentral:rRNA from 1 species
CCUACGGGUGGCAGCAGUGGGGAAUAUUGGACAAUGGGGGGAACCCUGAUCCAGCCAUGCCGCGUGUGUGAAGAAGGCCCUCGGGUUGUAAAGCACUUUCAGUGAGGAAGAACGCCUGGUGGUUAAUACCCAUCAGGAAAGACAUCACUCACAGAAGAAGCACCGGCUAACUCCGUGCCAGCAGCCGCGGUAAUACGGAGGGUGCGAGCAUUAAUCGGAAUUACUGGGCGUAAAGCGCGCGUAGGUGGCUUGAUAAGCCGGUUGUGAAAGCCCCGGGCUCAACCUGGGAACGGCAUCCGGAACUGUCAAGCUAGAGUGCAGGAGAGGAAGGUAGAAUUCCCGGUGUAGCGGUGAAAUGCGUAGAGAUCGGGAGGAAUACCAGUGGCGAAGGCGGCCUUCUGGACUGACACUGACACUGAGGUGCGAAAGCGUGGGUAGCAAACAGGAUUAGAUACCCUUGUAGUC